AAUAUGAAUGGGAAUGAGGUUCUCCCACGGCUUUUGCCGAAACCGCUUUUGCUGAUGACUUCUGUUUUUUG
rnacentral:ncRNA from 2 species